rnacentral:rRNA from 1 species
UGGGGUGAGAGGCCCCCGCCAGACUAGCGGGUUGAUAGGCCAGAGGUGGAAGCACCGCGAGGUGCUCGUGAGCCGACUGGUACUAAUGGGCCAACACUAAACAACA